AUGGACAAAAAAGAUAAAAAUAGAGUUAACCUUACAUGGACUCCUGAGAUGGACACAACAUUGUUGGCCGUCCUUGUUGAGCAUCACAACAAUGGUGACCAUGCUCAAAAUGGUUGGAAACCACAUGUGUAUAAUGCUUGCAUUAAGCAUGGCAAGGAUACAUGUGAUGUUGACAUUACGAAGGAAAACAUAAUAGGAAGAAUUAAAACAUUUGACAAGCGUUAUGAGAUCAUUACCAAGAUGCUUGCUCAGAGUGGCUUUGGAUGGGACUGGGUAAAGAACAUGGUGUCGGUUGAUAGUGACGAGGUGUGGUCUCGAUAUGUGGAGCCUAACAAGGAUGCACGUGCCUAUAGGAACAAGGUAGUGCACAAUUGGGAGUCUAUCAACACCAUAUAUUCAAAAGAUCAUGCGACCGGUGCAAGUGCUAGGACAUGA
rnacentral:rRNA from 1 species